ACGUACACUCCUACGGGAGGCAGCAGUGGGGAAUAUUGGACAAUGGGCGCAAGCCUGAUCCAGCCAUGCCGCGUGAGUGAUGAAGGCCCUAGGGUUGUAAAGCUCUUUCACCGGUGAAGAUAAUGACGGUAACCGGAGAAGAAGCCCCGGCUAACUUCGUGCCAGCAGCCGCGGUAAUACGAAGGGGGCUAGCGUUGUUCGGAUUUACUGGGCGUAAAGCGCACGUAGGCGGACUAUUAAGUCAGGGGUGAAAUCCCGGGGCUCAACCCCGGAACUGCCUUUGAUACUGGUAGUCUUGAGUUCGAGAGAGGUGAGUGGAAUUCCGAGUGUAGAGGUGAAAUUCGUAGACAUUCGGAGGAACACCAGUGGCGAAGGCGGCUCACUGGUUCGAUACUGACGCUGAGGUGCGAAAGCGUGGGGAGCAAACAGGAUUAGAUACCCGAGUAGUCCCAUGAU
rnacentral:rRNA from 1 species